rnacentral:rRNA from 1 species
GUACAAUAAGCAAAAUAAGGGCGUAUGGGGGAUGCCUUGGCUCUCAGAGGCGAUGAAAGGCGUGAUAAGCUGCGAAAAGUUACGGGGAUCGGCACACACGACUUGAUCCGUAAAUACCUGAAUGGGGCAACCCACUAUGUUGAAGACAUAGUACACCGAUAGGUGGGCAAACCCGCUGAACUGAAACAUCUAAGUAGGCGGAGGAGAAGAAAACAAAAGUGAUUCCGUAAGUAGUGGCGAGCGAACGCGGAUUAGCCCAAACCAAUGUUGUUACGGCAAUGUUGGGGUUGUAGGACCACGACAUUUUAUGUACAAGGAACCGGAAGUUACUGGAAAGUGACGCCAAAGAGGGUGAUAGCCCCGUAUGGGUAACGAGUAUAAUAGAUAGUGGUAUCCUGAGUAGGGCGGGGCACGUGAAACCCUGUCUGAAUUUGGCGGGACCAUCCGCUAAGGCUAAAUACUCCUGAGAGACCGAUAGUGAACCAGUACCGUGAGGGAAAGGUGAAAAGAACCGUGAAUAACGGAGUGAAAUAGAUCCUGAAACCAUACGCUUACAAGCGGUCGGAGCCCUUUCGUGGGGUGACGGCGUGCCUUUUGCAUAAUGAGCCUACGAGUUAACGUUGCUGGCAAGGUUAAGUGGUUAAGCCACGGAUCCGUAGCGAAAGCGAGUCUGAAUAGGGCGCUUUAGUCAGUAGUGUUAGACGCGAAACCGUGUGAUCUACCCAUGGGCAGGAUGAAGCUGUGGUAACACACAGUGGAGGUCCGAACCGGUUGACGUUGAAAAGUCUUCGGAUGACCUGUGGGUAGGGGUGAAAGGCCAAUCAAACUCGGAAAUAGCUCGUACUCCCCGAAAUGCAUUUAGGUGCAGCGCUGAAUUUAAGUUAUAUAGAGGUAGAGCUACUGAUUGGAUGCGGGGGCUUCACCGCCUACCAAUUCCUGACAAACUCCGAAUGCUAUAUAAUGUUUCUCAGCAGUGAGGGCUUGGGUGCUAAGGUCCAAGUCCGAGAGGGAAAGAACCCAGACCAUCAGCUAAGGUCCCCAAAUAUACGCUAAGUUGAAAGAACGAGGUUUGUCUGCCCAGACAGCUAGGAUGUUGGCUUGGAAGCAGCCAUUCAUUUAAAGAGUGCGUAACAGCUCACUAGUCGAGCGGACGAGCAUGGAUAAUAAUCGGGCAUAAGCGUAUUACCGAAGCUAUGGAUUUACAAGCAAUUGUAAGUGGUAGGGGAGCAUUCCAGCAGGGUUGAAGGUGUAUCGUAAGGUAUGCUGGACUGGCUGGAAAAGAAAAUGUAGGCAUAAGUAACGAUAAUGCGGGCGAGAAACCCGCACACCGAAAAACUAAGGUUUCCACAGCUAUGCUAAUCAGCUGUGGGUUAGUCUGGUCCUAAGGCGAACCCGAAAGGGACAGUCGAUGGCUAACGGGUUAAUAUUCCCGUACUACUAAUUACUGUGAUGGGGUGACGGAGUGAUGAAAGCGCCGCGAACUGACGGAAUAGUUCGUUGAAGUACCUACCUAUAAGAUNNNNNNNNNNNNNNNNNNNNNNNNNNNNNNNNNNNNNNNNGGCCGCAGUGAAGAGGUCCAGGCGACUGUUUAUCAAAAACACAGGGCUCUGCAAAAUCGUAAGAUGAAGUAUAGGGCCUGACACCUGCCCGGUGCUGGAAGGUUAAGAGGAGAUGUUAUCUUCGGAGAAGCAUUGAAUUGAAGCCCCAGUAAACGGCGGCCGUAACUAUAACGGUCCUAAGGUAGCGAAAUUCCUUGUCGGGUAAGUUCCGACCUGCACGAAUGGUGUAACGAUCUGGACACUGUCUCAGCCAUGAGCUCGGUGAAAUUGUAGUAACGGUGAAGAUGCCGUUUACCCGCAGUGGGACGAAAAGACCCUGUGCACCUUUACUAUAGCUUAGUAUUGACCUUGGAUAAAUGAUGUGUAGGAUAGGUUGGAGACUGUGAAGUGGCGUCGCCAGGCGUUGUGGAGUCAUUGUUGAAAUACAACCCUUUGUUUAUCUGAGGCCUAACCCCGUUUUACGGGGGACAUUGCUUGGUGGGUAGUUUGACUGGGGUGGUCGCCUCCAAAAGAGUAACGGAGGCUUCUAAAGGUUCCCUCAGUACGCUUGGUAACCGUGCGUAGAGUGCAAUGGCAUAAGGGAGCUUGACUGAGAGACAUACAGGUCGAUCAGGUACGAAAGUAGAGCAUAGUGAUCCGGUGGUUCCGCAUGGAAGGGCCAUCGCUCAAAGGAUAAAAGGUACGCCGGGGAUAACAGGCUGAUCUCCCCCAAGAGCUCAUAUCGACGGGGGGGUUUGGCACCUCGAUGUCGGCUCGUCACAUCCUGGGGCUGGAGAAGGUCCCAAGGGUUGGGCUGUUCGCCCAUUAAAGUGGCACGCGAGCUGGGUUCAGAACGUCGUGAGACAGUUCGGUCUCUAUCUACUGUGGGCGUUAGAAAUUUGAGUGGAUCUGAUUCUAGUACGAGAGGACCGAAUUGGACAAACCUCUAGUGUAUCUGUUGUCCCGCCAGGGGCACCGCAGAGUAGCUACGUUUGGAAGGGAUAAGCGCUGAAAGCAUAUAAGCGCGAAACCCACCACAAGAUGAGAUUUCUUUUAAGGAUCGUGGAAGAUGACCACGUUGAUAGGCUAUAGAUGUAAAGGCAGUAAUGUCAUAGUCGAGUAGUACUAAUAAUCCGUAAGCUUAUGUACACCC